rnacentral:rRNA from 1 species
GACGAACGCUGGCGGCGUGCUUAACACAUGCAAGUCGAACGAAGAGCGAUGGAAGCUUGCUUCUAUCAAUCUUAGUGGCGAACGGGUGAGUAACGCGUAAUCAACCUGCCCUUCAGAGGGGGACAACAGUUGGAAACGACUGCUAAUACCGCAUACGAUCUAAUCUCGGCAUCGAGGAUAGAUGAAAGGUGGCCUCUACAUGUAAGCUAUCACUGAAGGAGGGGAUUGCGUCUGAUUAGCUAGUUGGAGGGGUAACGGCCCACCAAGGCGAUGAUCAGUAGCCGGUCUGAGAGGAUGAACGGCCACAUUGGGACUGAGACACGGCCCAGACUCCUACGGGAGGCAGCAGUGGGGAAUCUUCCGCAAUGGACGAAAGUCUGACGGAGCAACGCCGCGUGAUGUGAUGACGGCCUUCGGGUUGUAAAGCUCUGUUAAUCGGGACGAAAGGCCUUCUUGCGAAUAGUGAGAAG